GCUAAUAAUAGCCCCAACACUUACCAAAUAAACUAUUCUAACCAACCAAACAAAACAUUUAAUCAAUUAAAGUAUGUGAGACAGAACAAAUUAUAAGGCGCAAUAAUGUUAGUACCGCAAGGGAAAAAUGAAAGACUAAUUCAAAGCACUACAAAGCAAAGAUUAAACCUUCUACCUUUUGCAUAAUGGUUUAGCUAGUUAAAUCGGGCAAAAGAAUUAUAUCCGCCCCCCGAAAUCAAGUGAGCUACUAUAAAACAGUAUAUAAGAACCAACCCAUCUAUGUAGCAAAAUAGUGAGAAGAUUUUAUAGUAGAGGUGAAAAGCCAACCGAACUUGAAGAUAGCUGGUUGUCCAAAACACGAAUAUUAGUUCAACUUUAAAUCUCGAUAAAUGUCCUAAUAACCACAACUUAAAUUUAAAGUCUAAUCAAAAGAGGGACAACUCUUUUGACUACGUAAACAAACUUCUUUAGAGGAUAAUGCUAACUACAAAAACAUCGUAGGCCCAAAAGCAGCCACCAAUUAAGAAAGCGUUAAAGCUCAAACACACAUAUAUCUUAAUACCAAUAAUCCAAUCAAAUUCCCUAACAUGACAUUGGACGACUCUAUAAAUGUACAGAAGACAUAAUGCUAAAAUCAGUAACAAGAAACAAUUCUCCCAGCACAAGCCUACAUUAGCAACGGAAUAACCACUAAUAAUUAACAAACCAAUAAUAACAAUCAUAACCUAGAAAAAUUAUUAACCCAUUGUUAAUCCAACACAGGAGUGCAUUAAGGAAAGAUUAAAAAGAAUAAAAGGAACUCGGCAAACAGAAACCCCGCCUGUUUACCAAAAACAUCACCUUUAGCAUAUCAAGUAUUAAAGGCAUCGCCUGCCCAGUGAGUUCAACUUUAACGGCCGCGGUAUCCUGACCGUGCAAAGGUAGCAUAAUCACUUGCCCUCUAAAUAGGGGCUAGUAUGAAUGGCAUUACGAGGGUUUAACUGUCUCUUAUUCUCAAUCAGUGAAAUUGACCUUCCCGUGCAGAGGCAGGAAUAUAAUUACAAGACGAGAAGACCCUAUGGAGCUUAAGAUUCAUAGUCUAAUAUAACUCAACCAAAUCCAACAGGUACAACAUAACAACUAAAUAGACUAUAACCUUCGGUUGGGAUGACCUCGGAGAAUAACAAAACCUCCGAAUGACAUAACCCAGAUCUACCAAUCUAAGUGUGACAACCACCAGUAAUUGACCCAUAUAUUGAUCAACGGAACAAGUUACCCUAGGGAUAACAGCGCAAUCCUAUUUAAGAGCCCAUAUCGACAAUUAGGGUUUACGACCUCGAUGUUGGAUCAGGACAUCCAAAUGGUGCAACCGCUAUUAAUGGUUCGUUUGUUCAACGAUUAAAGUCCUACGUGAUCUGAGUUCAGACCGGAGAAAUUCAGGUCGGUUUCUAUCUGUAUAUUAAUUUCUCCCAGUACGAAAGGACAAGAGAAAUAAGGCCAACGUCACUAACGAGCCCUAAAGACAAGACAUGAAUACAUCUAAAUAUCUUAACUCAACAACUCCAAACUCUAGAAAUAGAGCU
rnacentral:rRNA from 1 species